GAGCUCUGCAGAAUAAAAAUGGAGAAGCAUCUGAGGAUCUGCCUGGUGGUUUUGUGGCUUUAUUUUUGUAGGGUGAGUGGCAAAAACCAAGUGGAGCAGAGUCCUCAAUCCCUGAUCACCCUGGAGGGAGACAACUGCACUCUUCAAUGCAAUUAUACAGUGAGCCCCUUUAACAACUUAAGGUGGUACAGACAAGAUACUGAGAGUGGUCCUGUUCUCUUGACCGUCAUGUUUUCUGGUGAGAAUACAAAGUCGAAUGGAAGGUACACAGCAACUCUGGAUGCCAGCGUCAAGCGAAGCUCUCUGCACCUCACAGCCUCUCAGCUCAGCGAUUCAGCAUCCUACAUCUGUGUGGUGGGCGCACUGUGCUCCCCAGGCACUUGCAGCCAGUGCCCAAACCUGCACCUGGAGGCUGUUAAGGAAGCUUAG